ACUUAUUGUAAAAAUACCUCUAUACAGACUUCUCCUAUGACUCCCCAAAGCCUACGUAGAAGCCCUUAUUGCCAGCUCAAUAGUACUUGCAGCAGUACUCCUAAAGCUAGGUGGCUAUGAUAUAAUAUGGCUUACUCUUAUCGUCAACCCCCUAACAGAACAUAUAGCCUACCCUUUCCUCCUAUUGUCCCUAUGAGGAAUAGUUGACAAGCUCUAUUUUUCUACAACAAACCCAUCUAAAAUCACUUACUGCCUACUCCUCCAUAAGCCACAUAGCACUUGUGACUACAGCUAACCUUAUUCAGACCCCUUGAAGCUUUACAGAUGCAGACACCCUUAUAAUUGCUCAUGGACUCACUUCAUCCUUACUAUUCUGCAUAGAAAAUUCAAACUACGAGUGAGUCCAUAGCUGAACCAUGUUACUUACCUGAGGCCUUCAAACACUGCUUCCGCUAAUAGCUUCUUGAUGACUUCCAGCAAAUCUCACUAACCUUGCCUUACUCCCUACCAUUAAUCUAGUAGAACUCUUUGUGAUUAUGGCCUCAUUCUUCUGAUCAAAUAUUACCAUUAUGCUUACAGGACUUAGUAUACUGAUUACAGCCCUUGACUCCCUGUAUAUGCUAAUCAUGACACAACAAGGGACACUUGCAUAUUACAUUUACAGUAUUAAACCUUCCUUUACACAAGAAAAUACAUUAAUAUUUAUACAUCUUGCACCUAUCUUCCUAUUAUCUGCAAACCCUGAAAUUAUUAUGAGGUUUGCAUG
rnacentral:lncRNA from 1 species